rnacentral:rRNA from 1 species
CUAAUACAUGCAAGUCGAGCGAAUGGAUUAAGAGCUUGCUCUUAUGAAGUUAGCGGCGGACGGGUGAGUAACACGUGGGUAACCUGCCCAUAAGACUGGGAUAACUCCGGGAAACCGGGGCUAAUACCGGAUAACAUUUUGAACCGCAUGGUUCGAAAUUGAAAGGCGGCUUCGGCUGUCACUUAUGGAUGGACCCGCGUCGCAUUAGCUAGUUGGUGAGGUAACGGCUCACCAAGGCAACGAUGCGUAGCCGACCUGAGAGGGUGAUCGGCCACACUGGGACUGAGACACGGCCCAGACUCCUACGGGAGGCAGCAGUAGGGAAUCUUCCGCAAUGGACGAAAGUCUGACGGAGCAACGCCGCGUGAGUGAUGAAGGCUUUCGGGUCGUAAAACUCUGUUGUUAGGGAAGAACAAGUGCUAGUUGAAUAAGCUGGCACCUUGACGGUACCUAACCAGAAAGCCACGGCUAACUACGUGCCAGCAGCCGCGGUAAUACGUAGGUGGCAAGCGUUAUCCGGAAUUAUUGGGCGUAAAGCGCGCGCAGGUGGUUUCUUAAGUCUGAUGUGAAAGCCCACGGCUCAACCGUGGAGGGUCAUUGGAAACUGGGAGACUUGAGUGCAGAAGAGGAAAGUGGAAUUCCAUGUGUAGCGGUGAAAUGCGUAGAGAUAUGGAGGAACACCAGUGGCGAAGGCGACUUUCUGGUCUGUAACUGACACUGAGGCGCG